rnacentral:rRNA from 1 species
GACGAACGCUGGCGGCGUGCCUAAUACAUGCGAGUUGAGCGCUGAAGGUUGGUACUUGUACCGACUGGAUGAGCAGCGAACGGGUGAGUAACGCGUGGGGAAUCUGCCUUUGAGCGGGGGACAACAUUUGGAAACGAAUGCUAAUACCGCAUAAAAACUUUAAACACAAGUUUUAAGUUUGAAAGAUGCAAUUGCAUCACUCAAAGAUGAUCCCGCGUUGUAUUAGCUAGUUGGUGAGGUAAAGGCUCACCAAGGCGAUGAUACAUAGCCGACCUGAGAGGGUGAUCGGCCACAUUGGGACUGAGACACGGCCCAAACUCCUACGGGAGGCAGCAGUAGGGAAUCUUCGGCAAUGGACGAAAGUCUGACCGAGCAGCGCCGCGUGAGUGAAGAAGGGUUUCGGAUCGUAAAACUCUGUUAGUAGAGAAGAACGUUGGUGAGAGUGGAAAGCUCAUCAAGUGACGGUAACUACCCAGAAAGGGACGGCUAACUACGUG